rnacentral:tRNA from 1 species
AGCUAUUUAGCUUAAAAAAAGCAUAUACUUUGAAAGUAUAAGAUAUCUCAUUUAAUAGCUU